rnacentral:rRNA from 1 species
GACGAACGCUGGCGGCGUGCUUAACACAUGCAAGUCGAACGGAAAGGCCUGCUUUCCCUUGUGGAUUGCGGGUACUCGAGUGGCGAACGAGUGAGUAACACGUGAGUGAUCUGCCCCCAACUUGGGUAUAAGCCUGGGAAACUGGGUCUAAUUCCCGAUAGGACUGCAGGGUGGUGCCUGUGGUGGAAAACGAUUUUCUAGUGGGUGGGGAUGAGCUCGCGGCCUAUCAGCUUGUUGGUGGGGUAAUGGCCUACCAAGGCGGCGACGGGUAGCCGGCCUGAGAGGGUGGACGGCCACAUUGGGACUGAGAUACGGCCCAGACUCCUACGGGAGGCAGCAGUGGGGAAUAUUACACAAUGGGCGGAAGCCUGAUGCAGCGACGCCGCGUGGGGGAUGACGGCCUUCGGGUUGUAAACUCCUUUCGACCGCGAGGAAGCCACCUGGUUGGAAGGGUGGUGACGGUAGUGGUAGAAGAAGCACCGGCUAACUACGUG